rnacentral:rRNA from 1 species
CGGUUUCCAGCGACGGCGCAUUUUGAUUGCUGCUGAAUCUCGCUGACGAGCGGCGGACGGGUGAGUAACGCGUAGGAAUCUACCUAGAGAGGGGAUAGCCCGGGAAACUCGGAUUAAUACCGUAUACGUCCUUAGGGAGAAAGAGGGCUUACUUUGAUGCUCUCGCUAUUAAUGACCUGCGUAAAUUAGUUGUGGUGAGGUAAAGGCUCCCAGGCUACAUUUUACUGGUCUGAAGGACGAUCACCUUGGGACUGAACACGCCCAACUCCUACGGGAGGCAGCAGGGGAAUAUUGGACAAGGGCGCAAGCCUGAUCCACCAUACCGCGUGGUAAAAGGCCUUCGGGUUGUAAAGCACUUUAAGUAAGGAAAAAAGUAUAUUGUUAAUACCAAUGUACCGUGACAUUACUUACAAAUAAGGACCGGUAAUUCCGUGCCAGCACCGCGGUAAUACGGAAGGUCCAAGCGUUAAUCGGAAUUACUGGGCGUAAAGCGCGCGUAGGUGGUUUAUUAAGUUGGGUGUGAAAGCCCCGGGCUCAACCUGGGAACUGCAUCCAAAACUGAUUCACUAGAGUACGAAAGAGGGAGGUAGAAUUCACAGUGUAGCGGUGGAAUGCGUAAUAUUGUGAAGAAUACCAAUGGCGAAGGCAGCCUCCUGGUUCUGUACUGACACUGAGGUGCGAAAGCGUGGUAGCGAACAGGAUUAGAUACCCUGGUAGUCCACGCCGUAAACGAUGACAACCAGCUGUUGGGAAGCAAUGCUUUUUCAGUGGCGCACUAACGUCUUAAGUUGUCCGCCUGGGGAGUACGGCCGCAAGGUAAAACUCAAAUGAAUUGACGGGGACCCGCACAAGCGGUGGAGCAUGUGGUUUAAUUCGAUGCAGCGAAAACUACCUACUCUUGACAUCCUUGGAUCUCUUGUAUGAGAGAGUGCCUUUCCAGUGACAGGCUGCAUGUGUCGUCAGCUCGUGUCUGAGAUGUCUUAACGAGCCAUCUCUUAUUGCGCGCGUGGUGCGGUAACGAGAAAACA